GUUUUAAGUAGCUUAAGUGAAAGCAUCGGUCUUGUAAAUCGAAGAUAAUAAUAUUAUUCUAAAACU
rnacentral:tRNA from 1 species